rnacentral:rRNA from 1 species
UGGGAAGUCUUCCGCAAUGGGCGAAAGCCUGACGGAGCAAUGCCGCGUGAGUGAAGAAGGCCUUCGGGUUGUAAAACUCUGUCCUUAUCGAAGAGAGGUGGGUAUGUGAAUAAUGUACCUAUAGGACGGUAGAUAAGGAGGAAGCCCGCGUAACUACGUGCCAGCAGCCGCGGUAAUACGUAGGGGCGGCAGCGUGUCCGGAAUCACUGGGCGUAAAGGGCGCGUAGGCGGUUUAAUAAGUCAGUGGUGAAAACUGAGGGCUCAACCCUCAGCCUGCCACUGAUACUGUUAGACUUGAGUAUGGAAGAGGAGAAUGGAAUUCCUAGUGUAGCGGUGAAAUGCGUAGAUAUUAGGAGGAACACCAGUGGCGAAGGCGAUUCUCUGGGCCAAGACUGACGCUGAGGCGCGAAAGCGUGGGGAGCAAACAGGAUUAGAUACCC